rnacentral:rRNA from 1 species
GGCAGGCUUAACACAUGCAAGUCGAGGGGCAUCGGGAGGAAAGCUUGCUUUCCUUGCCGGCGACCGGCGCACGGGUGAGUAACACGUAUGCAACCUGCCCUCUUCAGGGGGACAACCUUCCGAAAGGGAGGCUAAUCCCGCGUAUAUCGGUUUCGGGCAUCCGAGAUCGAGGAAAGAUUCAUCGGAAGAGGAUGGGCAUGCGGCGCAUUAGCUAGAUGGCGGGGUAACGGCCCACCGUGGCGACGAUGCGUAGGGGUUCUGAGAGGAAGGUCCCCCACACUGGUACUGAGACACGGACCAGACUCCUACGGGAGGCAGCAGUGAGGAAUAUUGGUCAAUGGGAGAGAUCCUGAACCAGCCAAGCCGCGUGAGGGAAGACGGCCCUAUGGGUUGUAAACCUCUUUUGUCGGAGAACAAAACCCGGGACGUGUCCCGGACUGCGUGUAUCCGAAGAAAAAGCAUCGGCUAACUCCGUGCCAGCAGCCGCGGUAAUACGGAGGAGGCGAGCGUUAUCCGGAUUUAUUGGGUUUAAAGGGUGCGUAGGCGGUCCGAUAAGUCAGUGGUAAAAUUGCGGGGCUCAACCCCGUCGAGCCGUUGAAACUGGCAGACUUGAGUUGGCGAGAAGUACGCGGAAUGCGCGGUGUAGCGGUGAAAUGCAUAGAUAUCGCGCAGAACUCCGAUUGCGAAGGCAGCGUACCGGCGCCAGACUGACGCUGAGGCACGAAAGCGUGGGGAUCGAACAGGAUUAGAUACCCUGGUAGUCCACGCAGUAAACGAUGAAUGCUGGUUGUCCGGGUCGAAUGAGACCUGGGCGGCGAAGCGAAAGCGAUAAGCAUUCCACCUGGGGAGUACGCCGGCAACGGUGAAACUCAAAGGAAUUGACGGGGGCCCGCACAAGCGGAGGAACAUGUGGUUUAAUUCGAUGAUACGCGAGGAACCUUACCCGGGCUCAAACGGGAGUGGAAUGGACCAGAGACGGUUCAGCCUACGGGCCGCUUCCGAGGUGCUGCAUGGUUGUCGUCAGCUCGUGCCGUGAGGUGUCGGCUUAAGUGCCAUAACGAGCGCAACCCCCGCCGGCAGUUGCUAACGGGCAAUGCCGAGGACUCUGCCGGGACUGCCGCCGCAAGGCGUGAGGAAGGCGGGGAUGACGUCAAAUCAGCACGGCCCUUACGUCCGGGGCGACACACGUGUUACAAUGGGCGGUACAGCGGGAAGCCAGGCGGCGACGCCGAGCGGAACCCGAAAGCCGUUCUCAGUUCGGAUCGGAGUCUGCAACCCGACUCCGUGAAGCUGGAUUCGCUAGUAAUCGCGCAUCAGCCAUGGCGCGGUGAAUACGUUCCCGGGCCUUGUACACACCGCCCGUCAAGCCAUGGGAGCCGGGGGUGCUUGAAGU